UGACCUCAAUCAGGAGACCC
rnacentral:rRNA from 1 species